rnacentral:rRNA from 1 species
ACUUUACAAUGCGGGGAACCGCGAUAAGGGGACACCGAGUGCCAGCAUCCUAUGUUGGCUGUCCAUAUGUCUAAAUCACAUGUGUUAGCAAGGGCCGGGCAAGACCGGUGCCAGCCGCCGCGGUAACACCGGCGGCCCGAGUGGUGGCCACUAUUAUUGGGUCUAAAGGGUCCGUAGCCGGUUUGGUCAGUCUUCCGGGAAAUCUGACGGCUCAACCGUUAGGCUUUCGGGGGGUAAUACCAGGCUUGGGACCGGGAGAGGUAAGGAGGUACACGGGGGGUAGGAGUGAAAUCUUGUAAUCCCUGUGGGACCACCAGAGGCGAAGGCGUCUUACCAGAACGGGUCCGACGGUGAGGGACGAAAGCUGGGGGCACGAACCGG